ACCAUUUGGAUCAUGCCAUUCCAUUCCUUCGCUCAGAAGCCUACGAUGAGUCCCCAAUGAAGGCAGUAAAGUUCCAGAUCUGGGAUCCAGAGUCAUAGGACAAUGACGGUGUCUGCCUCUGGGCAUCCAGUGAGAGAAGAGAGGCUGCCUGCUUGUGAGUUCUAGGUCCGGCUCACUGUCCAUCUGUGGUGUUUUUCAACAUGGGGAUGCUGAUGGGUUCACUCAAUGGACUACCCACACAAAUUCAGCAAGCAGAGGCCUCCAGAUUUCCAAGCCAAGCUUUCUGUGUGAUAAAUCAAGCGCGCAUUCCUGAUUUCAAAAAGGAAGGCAAACUCCUCUGGAGGAGGUCAACCCUCCCCUGUCACGGAUGACUGGUCAGCACUUCUGGGAGGAAGGAACUAAUGAGAGGUGGCCAUUAGAAUCUUCUGGGAUUCGGGACAGUUUAUAGGCUCAUUUGUAGAUGAGACAAAGAGGAGCCACUGGGAACCAGUUAAGUCCUCAGCUGCAUAAAGAAGAUUCUGUUUCAUGUUUAUCUCACAGAAAAUCCCAGAAUGAAAGUUCAGCCCAAAACCUUCUCAUCUGACACACAGGGAAGUCCUCAUACAGGGGUUUUAAACCUUUUCUGUAUCCCUUUGGCCAUCAGUCCGGA